CAACGCGAAGAACCUUACCAGGUCUUGACAUCCGAUGCUAUUUCUAGAGAUAGAGGAGUGCUCGAAAGAGAGCCGUAACACAGGUGCUGCAUGGCUGUCGUCAGCUCGUGUCGUGAGAUGUUGGGUUAAGUCCCGCAACGAGCGCAACCCUUGUCAUUAGUUGCUACGAAAGGGCACUCUAAUGAGACUGCCGGUGACAAACCGGAGGAAGGUGGGGAUGACGUCAAGUCCUCAUGGCCCUUAUAGGUGGGGCUACACACGUCAUACAAUGGCUGGUACAAAGGGUUGCCAACCCGCGAGGGGGAGCCAAUCCCAUAAAGCCAGUCGUAGUCCGGAUCGCAGUCUGCAACUCGACUGCGUGAAGUCGGAAUCGCUAGUAAUCGUGGAUCAGCAUGUCACGGUGAAUACGUUCCCGGGUCUU
rnacentral:rRNA from 1 species